ACUACUCUAGGAAUGUUAAUAUAGAGGUAUAAGGCCUGCAUGGCAACCAGA
rnacentral:lncRNA from 1 species